CCAGGCUAUGAGGGGUGGCCAGUCCUCUUCUGGCUGUGCAGGGUGGAUAUUAUAACAGAACAUGGUCAAGAUGUUAAAAUGUUCAUAAAUGACCAGCAUGGUCAAAUAAUAAUAAUAAUCAUAGUAGUUGUCGAGGGUGCAACAAGCACGUCCGGUGAACAGGUCAGGGUUCCAUAGCCACAGGCAGAACAGUUGAAACUGGAGCAGCAGCACGGCCAGGUGGACUGGGGACAGCAAGGAGUCAUCAUACCAGGUAGUCCUGAGGCAUGGUCCUAGGGCUCAGGUCCUCCGAGAGAAAGACAGAAAGAGAGAAAGAGAGAAUUAGAGAGAGCAUAUUUAAAUACACACAGGACACCGGAUAAGACAAGAGAAAUACUCCAGAUGUAACAGACUGACCCUAGCCCCCCGACACAUAAACUACUGCAGCAUAAAUACUGGAGGCUGAGACAGGAGGGAUCAGAAGACACUGUGGCCCCAUCCGAUGAUACCCCCGGACAGGGCCAAACAGGCAGGAUAUAACCCCACCCACUUUGCCAAAGCACAGCCCCCACACCACUAGAGGGAUGUCUCCAACCACCAACUUACCGUCCUAAGACAAGCCCGAGUAUAGCCCACAACGAUCUCCGCCAUGGCACAACCCAAGGGGGGGGGCGCCAACCCAGACAGGAAGACCACGUCAGUGACUCAACCCACUCAAGUGACACACCCCUCCCAUGGACGGCAUGGAAGAACACCAGUAGGCCAGUGACUCAGCCCCUGUAAAAGGGUUAGAGGCAGAGAAUCCCAGUGGUGAAUGUAUAGUUAACGUGACUAUGCAUAUAUGAUAAACAGAGAGUAGCAGCAGCGUAAAAAGAGGGGUUGGGGGGGAGCACACAAUGCAAAUAGUCCGGGUAGCCAUUUGAUUAGAUGUUCAGGAGUCUUAUGGCUUGGGGGUAAAAACUGUUGAGAAGCCUUUUUGUCCUAGACUUGGCACUCCGGUACUGCUUGCCAUGCGGUAGUAGAGAGAACAGUCUAUGACUGGGGUGGCUGGGGUCUUUGACAAUUUUUAGGGCCUUCCUCUGACACCGCCUGGUGUAGAGGUCCUGGAUGGCAGGCAGCUUAGCCCCAGUGAUGUACUGGGCCGUACGCACUACCCUCUGUAGUGCCUUGCGGUCAGAUGCCGAGCAAUUGUCGUACCAGGCAGUGACGCAACCAGUCAGGAUGCUCUCGAUAUUGCAGCUGUAGAACCUUUUGAGGAUCUCAGGACCCAUGUCAAAUCUUUUUAGUUUCCUGAGGAGGAAUAGGCUUUGUCAUGCCCUCUUCACGCUUGUCUUGGUGUGUUUGGACCAUUCUAGUUUGUUGCUGAUGUGGACACCAAGGAACUUGAAGCUCUCAACCUGCUCCACUACAGCCAUGUCGAUGAGAAUGGGGGCGUGCUCGGUCCUCCUUUUCCUGUAGUCCACAAUAAUCUCCUUAGUCUUGGUUACGUUGAGGGAUAGGUUGUUAUUCUGGCACAGAUCUCUGACAUCCUCCCUAUAGGUUGUCUCGUCGUUGUCGGUGAUCAGGCCUACCACUGUUGUGUCGUCUGCAAACUUAAUGAUGGUGUUGGAGUCAUGCCUGGCCAUGCAGUCGUGGGUGAACAGGGAGUACAGGAGGAGUCUGAGCAUGCACCCCUGUGAGCUCCAGGGUUGAGGAUCAGCGUGGCAGAUGUGUUGCUACCUACCCUUACCACCUGGGGGUGGCCCGUCAGGAAGUCCAGGAUCCAGUUGCAGAGGGAGGUGUUGAGUCCCAGGAUCCUUAGCUUAGUGAUGAGCUUUGAGGGCACUAUGGUGUUGAACGCUGAGCUGUAGUCAGUGAAUAGCAUUCUCACAUAAGUGUUCCUUUUGUCCAGGUGGGAAAGGGCAGUGUGGAGUGCAAUAGAGAUUGCAUCAUCUGUGGAUCUGUUUGGGUGGUAUGCAAAUUGGAGUGGGUCAAGUGUUUCUGGGAUAAUGGUGUUGAUGUGAGCCAUUACCAACCUUUCAAAGCACUUCAUGGCUACGGACAUGAGAGCUACGGGUCUGUAGUCAUUUAGGCAGGUUGCCUUUGUGUUCUUGGGCACAGGGACUAUGGUGGUUUGCUUGAAACAUGUUGGUAUUACAGACUCAAUCAGGGACAUGUUGAAAAUGUCAGUGAAGACACCUGCCAGUUGGUCAGCACAUGCCCGGAGCACACGUCCUGGUAAUCCAUCUGGCCCCACAGCCUUGUGUAUAUUGACGUGUUUAAAGGUCUUACUCACUUCGGCUAUGGAGAGCGUGAUCACACAGUCGUCCGGAACAGAUGAUGCUCUCAUGCAUGCCUCAGUGUUGCUUGCCUCCAAGCGAGCAUAGAAGUGAUUUAGCUCGUCUGGUAGGCUCGUGUCACUGGGCAGCUCACGGCUGUGCUUCCCUUUGUAGUCUGUAAUAGUUUGCAAGCCCUGCCACAUAAGAUGAGCAUCGGAGCCGGUGUAGUAUGAUUCAAUCUUAGCCCUGUAUGACGCUUUGCCUGGUUGAUGGUUCAUCGGAGGGCAUAGCAGGAUUUCUUGUAAGCUUCCAGAUUAGAAUCCCGCUCCUUGAAAGCGGCAGCUCUACCCUUUAGCUCAGUGCGAAUGUUGCCUGUAAUCCAUGGCUUCUGGUUGGAGUAUGUACGUACAGUCACUGUGGGGACGACAUCCACUAUGCACUUAUUGAUAAAGCCAGUGACUGAUGUGGUGUGCUCCUUAAUGCCAUCGGAAGAAUUCCGGAACAUAUUCCAUUCUGUGAUAGCAAAACAGUCCUGUAGUUUAGCAUCUGCUUCAUCUGACCACUUUUUUAUAGACCGAGUCACUGGUGCUUCCUGCUUUAAUUUUUGCUUGUAAGCAGGACUCAGGAGGAUAGAGUUGUGGUCGGAUUUACCAAAUGGAGGGCGAGGGAGAGCUUUGUACGCGUCUCUGUGUGUGGAGUACAGGUGAUCUAGAAUUUUUUUCCCUCUGGUUGCACGUUUAACAUGUUGAUGGAAAUUUGGUAGAACUGAUUUAAGUUUCCAUGCAUAAAAGUCUCCGGCCACUAGGAGCGCUGCCUCUGGGUGAGUGGUUUCCUGUUUGCUUAUUUCCUUAUACAGCUGAUUGAGUGCGGUCUAAGUGCCAGCAUCUGUCUGUGGUGGUAAAUAAACAGCCACGAAAAGUAUAGCUGAAAACUCUCUAGGCAAGCAGUGUGGCCUGCAAUGUAUCACAAUAUACUCUACUUCAGGCGAGCAAAAUCUAGAGACUUCCUUAGAUUUCGUGCACCAGCUGUUGUUUACAAAUAUGCACAGACCGCCCCCCCCUCGUCUUACCAGAGUGUGCUGUUCUAUCUUGCCGGUGCUGCGUGUUUCCCGCUAGCUGAUUAUCCAUUUCUUCAUUCAGCCACGAUUCCGUGAAACAUAGGAUAUUACAGUUUUUGAUGUCCCGUUGGUAGGAUAUUCGUGAUCGUACCUCGUCUAGUUUAUUGUCCAAUGAUUGCAUGUUGGAUCGGGUCACCGCCUUGAUGUUAGCGGAGAACGACAGGGUGUUGUCCAGGGUCACGCCAAGGCUCUUAGCACUCUGGGAGGAGGACACAAUGCAGUUGUCAACCGUGAUGGCGAGAUCAUGGAACAGGCAGUCCUUCCCCGGGAGGAAGAGCAGCUCCGUCUUGCCGAGGUUCAGCUUGAGGUGGUGAUCCGUCAUCCACACUGAUAUGUCUGCCAGACAUACAGAGAUGCGAUUCGCCACCU
rnacentral:lncRNA from 1 species